UUCCCUUCUUGUUGGUCUGGGCGCCCCUGGCUCAGGCGAGGGGCUGCAUCCACCCUCCCCUUGCCGCGGGUCCUGCCCUGUUGACUUCCUCCAUCCCCCGCUGACAGGAGGGAA
ensembl:misc_RNA